UGCGCGUCGGGAACUCGACGUCCGACGGAGGAUGGCGGCAUCGUUCCGUGGCCGGUCUCGUCCGGGACGAGAGAAAGGGUUUUGACUCGAAGGCUUUCCUUUGGGAAAGCUCUCCAUCCUGGACCUCAGCUCAGGCGUGACUACCCGCUGAAUUUAAGCAUAUCAAUAA
rnacentral:misc_RNA from 1 species